rnacentral:rRNA from 1 species
UACGUAGGGGGGCUAGCGUUGUCCGGAAUCAUUGGGCGUAAAGCGCGCGUAGGCGGCCCCGGUAAGUCCGCUGUAAAAAGUCAAAAGGCUCAACCUUUGAAUGUCAGUGGAUACUGCCGGGCUAGAGUCCGGAAGAGGCGAGUGGAAUUCCUGGUGUAGCGGUGGAAUGCGCAGAUAUCAGGAAGAACACCGAUGGCGAAGGCAGCUCUCUGGGACGGUACUGACGCUGAGGAGCGAAAGUGUGGGGAGCGAACAGG